GGUUAAGUGACUAAGCGUACACGGUGGAUGCCUUGGCAGUCAGAGGCGAUGAAAGACGUAGUAACUUGCGAUAAGCCCAGAUUAGGUAGUAACAACCAUUUGAGUCUGGGAUUUCUGAAUGGGGAAACCCACUUACAUAAGUAAGUAUCAUUAACUGAAUACAUAGGUUAAUGAGGCGAACCGGGGAACUGAAACAUCUAAGUACCCCGAGGAAAAGAAAUCAACCGAGAUUCCGAAAGUAGCGGCGAGCGAAAUUGGACUAGCCCUUAAGCUUUACACGCGUUAGACGAACGGUCUGGAAAGUCCGACGAUACAGGGUGAUAGUCCCGUAGUUGACGACGUGUGUUCAGUGAAAUCGAGUAGGGCGGGACACGUGAUAUCCUGUCUGAAUAUGGGGGGACCAUCCUCCAAGGCUAAAUACUACUGACUGACCGAUAGUGAACCAGUACCGUGAGGGAAAGGCGAAAAGAACCCCUGUGAGGGGAGUGAAAUAGAACCUGAAACCGUGUACGUACAAGCAGUAGGAGCAGGCUUUGUCCUGUGACUGCGUACCUUUUGUAUAAUGGGUCAGCGACUUAUAUUCAGUGGCAAGGUUAACCAUCUAGGGGAGCCGUAGGGAAACCGAGUCUUAACUGGGCGUUCAGUCUCUGGAUAUAGACCCGAAACCAGGUGAUCUAGCCAUGGGCAGGUUGAAGGUUGAGUAACAUCAACUGGAGGACCGAACCGACUAAUGUUGAAAAAUUAGCGGAUGACUUGUGGCUAGGGGUGAAAGGCCAAUCAAACCUGGAGAUAGCUGGUUCUCCCCGAAAGCUAUUUAGGUAGCGCCUCGGACGAAUACUACUGGGGGUAGAGCACUGUUAAGGCUAGGGGGUCAUCCCGACUUACCAACCCUUUGCAAACUCCGAAUACCAGUAAGUACUAUCCGGGAGACACACGGCGGGUGCUAACGUCCGUCGUGGAGAGGGAAACAACCCAGACCGCCAGCUAAGGUCCCAAAUUACUACUAAGUGGGAAACGAUGUGGGAAGGCUCAGACAGCCAGGAUGUUGGCUUAGAAGCAGCCAUCAUUUAAAGAAAGCGUAAUAGCUCACUGGUCGAGUCGGCCUGCGCGGAAGAUGUAACGGGGCUAAGUAGUAAACCGAAGCUGCGGCAAUGUGCUUUUUGCACAUUGGGUAGGGGAGCGUUCUGUAAGCGGUUGAAGGUGUGUGGUAACGCAUGCUGGACGUAUCAGAAGUGCGAAUGCUGACAUGAGUAACGAUAAAGGGGGUGAAAAACCUCCUCGCCGGAAGACCAAGGGUUCCUGUCCAACGUUAAUCGGGGCAGGGUAAGUCGACCCCUAAGGCGAGGCCGAAAGGCGUAGUCGAUGGGAAACGGGUUAAUAUUCCCGUACUUCUUACAAUUGCGAUGGGGGGACGGAGAAGGCUAGGUGGGCCUGGCGACGGUUGUCCAGGUUCAAGUGCGUAGGCUUAAGAGUUAGGUAAAUCCGGCUCUUUUUAAGGCUGAGACACGACGUCGAGCACCUACGGGUGUGAAGUCAUUGAUGCCAUGCUUCCAGGAAAAGCCUCUAAGCUUCAGAUUGUAAGGAAUCGUACCCCAAACCGACACAGGUGGUCGGGUAGAGAAUACCAAGGCGCUUGAGAGAACUCGGGUGAAGGAACUAGGCAAAAUGGUACCGUAACUUCGGGAGAAGGUACGCUCUUGAUGGUGAAGUCCCUCGCGGAUGGAGCUGACGAGAGUCGCAGAUACCAGGUGGCUGCAACUGUUUAUUAAAAACACAGCACUGUGCAAAAUCGUAAGAUGACGUAUACGGUGUGACGCCUGCCCGGUGCCGGAAGGUUAAUUGAUGGGGUUAGACUUCGGUCGAAGCUCUUGAUCGAAGCCCCGGUAAACGGCGGCCGUAACUAUAACGGUCCUAAGGUAGCGAAAUUCCUUGUCGGGUAAGUUCCGACCUGCACGAAUGGCGUAAUGAUGGCCACGCUGUCUCCACCCGAGACUCAGUGAAAUUGAAAUCGCUGUGAAGAUGCAGUGUACCCGCGGCUAGACGGAAAGACCCCGUGAACCUUUACUACAGCUUGGCACUGAACAUUGACCCUACAUGUGUAGGAUAGGUGGGAGGCUUUGAAGCACGUACGCCAGUAUGUGUGGAGCCGUCCUUGAAAUACCACCCUUGUAGUGUUGAUGUUCUAACGUCGACCCCUUAUCGGGGUUGCGGACAGUGCCUGGUGGGUAGUUUGACUGGGGCGGUCUCCUCCCAAAGAGUAACGGAGGAGCACGAAGGUGGGCUAAUCACGGUUGGACAUCGUGAGGUUAGUGCAAUGGCAUAAGCCCGCUUGACUGCGAGAAUGACAAUUCGAGCAGGUGCGAAAGCAGGUCAUAGUGAUCCGGUGGUUCUGAAUGGAAGGGCCAUCGCUCAACGGAUAAAAGGUACUCCGGGGAUAACAGGCUGAUACCGCCCAAGAGUUCAUAUCGACGGCGGUGUUUGGCACCUCGAUGUCGGCUCAUCACAUCCUGGGGCUGAAGUCGGUCCCAAGGGUAUGGCUGUUCGCCAUUUAAAGUGGUACGCGAGCUGGGUUUAGAACGUCGUGAGACAGUUCGGUCCCUAUCUGCCGUGGGCGUUGGAAGAUUGAAGGGGGCUGCUCCUAGUACGAGAGGACCGGAGUGGACGAACCUCUGGUGUUCGGGUUGUGUCGCCAGACGCAUUGCCCGGUAGCUAAGUUCGGAAUCGAUAACCGCUGAAAGCAUCUAAGCGGGAAGCGAGCCCUGAGAUGAGUCUUCCCUGAUACUUUAAGUAUCCUAAAGGGUUGUCGGAGACUACGACGUUGAUAGGUCAGGUGUGUAAGUGCUGUGAGGCAUUGAGCUAACUGAUACUAAUUGCCCGUGAGGCUUAACCAU
rnacentral:rRNA from 1 species